rnacentral:rRNA from 1 species
AUUGAACGCUGGCGGCAGGCCUAACACAUGCAAGUCGAGCGGUAGAGAGGUGCCUGCAUCUCUUGAGAGCGGCGGACGGGUGAGUAAUGCCUAGGAAUCUGCCUAGUGGUGGGGGAUAACGUUCGGAAACGGACGCUAAUACCGCAUACGUCCUACGGGAGAAAGCGGGGGAUCUUCGGACCUCGCGCCAUUAGAUGAGCCUAGGUCGGAUUAGCUAGUUGGUGAGGUAAUGGCUCACCAAGGCGACGAUCCGUAACUGGUCUGAGAGGAUGAUCAGUCACACUGGAACUGAGACACGGUCCAGACUCCUACGGGAGGCAGCAGUGGGGAAUAUUGGACAAUGGGCGAAAGCCUGAUCCAGCCAUGCCGCGUGUGUGAA